UACGAAGGGGGCUAGCGUUGUUCGGAAUUACUGGGCGUAAAGGGCGCGUAGGCGGCCUUCUAAGUCGAACGUGAAAUCCCCGGGCUCAACCCGGGAACUGCGUCCGAUACUGGGAGGCUUGAAUCCGGGAGAGGGAUGUGGAAUUCCAGGUGUAGCGGUGAAAUGCGUAGAUAUCUGGAGGAACACCGGUGGCGAAGGCGGCAUCCUGGACCGGUAUUGACGCUGAGGCGCGAAAGCUAGGGGAGCAAACGGG
rnacentral:rRNA from 1 species